rnacentral:lncRNA from 1 species
AAACGCCGCCGCGGAGCCGAGGCGGAGCCGCUGUCCUCGUCCCCAGCGGUCCCGCCCAACGCCCGACUCUAUAGGCCACAGCUCUCCUGAAGGGAUUAAGACUUUCUGUGUGAAAAAUGGUAUUCAGAAGGAAGCCAGCAUUAAUUCUGUUUUUAUACAUUUAUGAAGAUUUGAAGGAAUUUCACUGUCAAUUCUGUCUUAAUUGUAUUCUGUAUAAUAAAUCAUAAUGGUAUCCAA